rnacentral:tRNA from 1 species
GGGCCUGUGGCUCAAAGGAGUAGGGUGCUGGCUCCAUAUGCCAGAGGUAGCAGGUUCAAUUCCAGGCCCA